UACGGAGGGGGCUAGCGUUGUUCGGAAUUACUGGGCGUAAAGCGCGCGUAGGCGGACCUGCAAGUCGGGGGUGAAAGCCCGAGGCUCAACCUCGGAACUGCCUUCGAUACUGCGGGUCUCGAGUCCGGGAGAGGUGAGUGGAAUUCCUAGUGUAGAGGUGAAAUUCGUAGAUAUUGGGAAGAACACCGGUGGCGAAGGCGGCGAGCUGGUCCAUUACUGACGCUGAGGCGCGACAGCGUGGGGAGCAAACAGG
rnacentral:rRNA from 1 species